AGCAGUAGCCGCGGGAAUACGGAGGGAGCUAGCGUUGUUCGGAAUUACUGGGCGUAAAGCGCACGUAGGCGGCUUUGUAAGUUAGAGGUGAAAGCCUGGAGCUCAACUCCAGAAUUGCCUUUAAGACUGCAUCGCUUGAAUCCGGGAGAGGUGAGUGGAAUUCCGAGUGUAGAGGUGAAAUUCGUAGAUAUUCGGAAGAACACCAGUGGCGAAGGCGGCUCACUGGACCGGCAUUGACGCUGAGGUGCGAAAGCGUGGGGAGCAAACAGGAUUAGAUACCCGGGUAGUCCCUGUCUCUUAUAC
rnacentral:rRNA from 1 species